GCUGGGUGUGGUGGUGCAUGCCUGUAGUUCCAGCUACUUGGGAGGCUGAGCCAGGAGGAUCGCUUGAGCCCAGGAGUUUAAGGCUGCAGUGAGCUAUGAUUGCACCAAUGCACUCCAGCCUGGGUGACAGAGCAAGAUCCUGUCUCUA
rfam:Gorilla gorilla gorilla genomic chromosome, chr2B, whole genome shotgun sequence